AUGAAGGCUUUGAAGGAAGAGCAAUGCCAGCGAGAGGUUCCUGUUGACGACGAUGACGACUUUGGUGCACUCGCUUGCCUUCCCCUCUACGACCUUGAAAGUGAAACCACGACUUUCGAUCCCUCCAACUUGUUCGACGACGUCAAACUUGAUGAUCGCAACUUGGCAAUUCUCCAGAAGCCCAAGAAACCACCAUGUUACGGCAAUUUCGGCAAGGGCAAGGAUUUGGAGACCCUCCGCUUGAUGCUAAGCGCACCACCUCCACCUUCUUGUCAACAAAACCCUACGGGGCCAACAAAAUCUGAUGCUCAUCAUCAACGGCAAGACUGGGAUGACGAAGAGAAGUUGGAGAAUAGCAAGCGAAAGCUUCACCAAGGCUAUCAAGAGUUCCAAAACAAGAGAAAGAAAAUUCAACUUCUUGACGUCAAGAACUUGCCUUUGCCGUCUAAGUCUCCGCGAGGCCAGGUUUUGAGCGAGAACAAGCCGUUGAUCAGUUCGAGGAAGUGCCCAGAGCCUUCUGAUUUUUCGGAGAGCCAACAAAACCCUAAGGGGCUCACAAAAUCUACUGAUCAUGAUGUUCAUCAUCGGCAAGAUUGGGAUGAUGAAGAGAAGUUGGAGACUAGUGUUCAAAAGCUUCGCCAAGGCUAUCAAGAGUUCCAAAACAAGCGAAAGAAAAUUCAAGUUCUCGACAUCAAGAGCUUGCCUUUGCCGUCUAAACCCGGACGAGGUCGGGUUUCGACAAAGAACAAGUUUCUGACCAGCUCCAGGAAGUGCCGAGCCUUCUGA
rnacentral:lncRNA from 1 species